AUGGCCAAUCGAAUAUGCUGCUCACUACCUCUUGGCACAUAUCAUGGGGUUGUCCACUUAAAAAAUGGAGGACAUCCAGGAUUGGAGUACAUGCUCCAUGGCUCUAAAAAAGCAACUCUCUUCAUGGACAUCAGGGAGAAUCGUAGUCCGACUACAACAUUGGGUUCAUUCUAUGUUUACAUGACUUUGUGUCUGCAUAUUGAAACUUGGCUGAUCAAUGGAUGGCCGGACCUACCCUUAUCGGUCUUCUUCGGAGGGAAGAAAUGUUACCGUGUCUACCACAUAAGGCGAUCCCUAGCAAGCCUCGAAUGGGAUCUGCCAAUCAUAAACGAGGUCAUAUCUCAUUUUCCAGCGCGGUGUCUCGGUGACGGGGCGGCCUCGUCCGAGUCCAGGGCUGCGCCGCUGACGUCGGACCUGGCCGUGCAGCCCGCUGCGUCAGCCCUCGUUCAAAUCUUCGAUCCGGUUUCUUCGACAGAUCCAAGCCUGGCCCGUGAUCGGAUGCAUCCUGGGCGUCCACUUCGGAUGCUCAAUCUGGGGCGUUGGCUAGGCCACUUGUGGAAACGGGUGCACCCAGCAGGAAACCCUAAUCUCACUCGAUCAUACGCGGCCGUCGUCCAGUCUCCAGAGAUGUCGCGACGUGAUCCCUCCGCUCCGCCCGGGGGUACCACCGGCAAUCAGGCUCAACCUUCUCCGAGCGCCGCCCAGCCGCCGGCUGCUCGCAUGGCUUCUCCGGCGGGAGGUGCACCUGGAUUUGCUCCGGGGGUCUACCAGCCGAUUCAAGCCCCGUCAUCCUGCACGCCGUCGGCCUCGUACACGCCGGUGCAGCAGCCACCGGUACAGCAGCCGCAGAUGCAGGUAUACCAGGGGCAGUUCCCGCACCAGUUCGUCGGAAUCCCGACACCAUACAUGCAGCAACAACCAGUUCAUCUUCAACCCUCGGGGGGCUACAUACAUCAGCAACAUCAGCUAGCUAUGGCUCCAUAUCAACCGAUUGCCAGCGCUUAUGGGCAGCAGCAAGGGCCUCUCGCCGGCGCCAAUCAGCAGCACCUCCAUCAGCCGACCACCAGCUUCAACACCGGGCCGGCUAUCACCUUGACAGCCGGACCUGUCGCGGCAUGCUCUCGCAAGCCAAAGGGAGGCAAGGGUGGCCGUCAAAAGAUUCGUCAGGGGCCAGUUCACCAACCUGCUGCUCCCAUGCAAGCUGCUACGGGCCCUUCGAUGCCAACUCCGGCUCCUGUGUACGUCCCGACCGCUUCAUCAACAGUGGUUGCGGGUCAUGGACAGGGUGCACCUGUGCACUUGGUUGCCCCGUUUCAUCAACCACCGGCUCCAUCUUCUGGUACAUCCGAGGUUGCAGUGGCACCCAAAAAAUUGUGGUGUUCUAAAUGUCAGUCGGCAGGACACUUAUCUGAUGAGUGCGACACACAACAGUAUACCUCAGUCAUCAUGCGGGCGUGUGCCGAGGGGGCGGCUCGUCUGCGGAUGAUACUGGACAUGUUCGCGGAGGCUACAGGGCUAAGGAUCAACUUCACCAAGAGCACCCUGGUCCCGAUUCAUAUCGAAUCCGUGGUCCAAGAGACGACCAUCCAAGCGCUGGGCUGCAUGGUGGGGUCCUUCCCACAAACUUACUUGGGGCUGCCUCUAUCCUGGGAGAAGCUGAGGUUCGAAGAUUUCCUGCCAAUGAUAGCGAAGGUGGACAAGUAUCUUGCGGGCUGGGCGGCGUGCCUCCUCUCUCCCGCGGCGCACCUGGUGCUGAUCAACGCUGUCCUGGAUGCUCUGCCAACUUAUGCCAUGGCUGCGCUGCUCCUCCCCCCCAAGCUGAUCCAUGCGCUGGAUGCCAUGAGGCGCGAUUUCUUGUGGAACGUGGCUGAAAGAGCGUCGGGAGCUCAAUGCCUGGUCGCCUGGGAUCACGUAUAUCGUGCUAAAUCUGAAGGAGGGCUCGGGGUCCGCCACCUUCAGACCCAAAACGACUGCCUCCUACUGAAGAUGAUCCAUCGUCUGCACAGUGAGCCGCGGGCGAGGUGGGCUGCCUGGGUGUGGAGUGCAGCUCAGGGGGGCUCGCUCCUGGCGCGAGAUGCCUCGACCCUGGGCGAACACGGAAAGGCUCUGGCUAGGCUGCUGCCUCUGUACCGGUCUCUUACCACGGUCGCAGUGGGAGACGGGCGCUCGGUUUCCUUCUGGUUCGACAACUGGCUGCCCUGCGGCGCGCUCUCAGUUGCCUUCCCGGCCCUCUUCUCACAUGCUUCUACUCCUGAGGUGACUGUCUGGGAGGCUAGAGAGGCGGGCCUACGCAGGGUACUCAUGCCGCGCCUCACGCGCGUGGGUGAGGGCAAACUGGGUGUGGUCCUGGCAAUGAUGGAUUCCCACCCUGUGAGAAGUGGUGGUGAUGAUCGGUCGCUUCGCCACAUUGCAAAACCGUGCGGCUCGCUCUCAGCUGCCAGGGUGUACAAGUUGCUGCGGUUUGGCGGCCUUGUCGCCCCCUUCGCGGCGUCUGUCUGGGCCACGAAGGCGCCGUCGCGUGUCAAGUUCUUCUUCUGGCUGCUGAUGCAGAAACGAAUUCAUACAAGGGAUGUGUUGCUGAAGAAGCACAUUGUGGUGCCUGAAGGUGCGGGGUGCCCCGUGUGCGAGCGUGAGAUGGAAAGUGCGGAUCACCUGAUCCUCUCCUGUCCGUUUGCGGAGUCUUUCUGGAGGCGGAUCGGCGUCACUGUGGGGGGCGCGGGAGAGGACUGCUUGGCUCACCUGGCCUCUGCGGUGAGAUCGGCUGUCGGUUCUGCUCCCGAAUUCACUAUGCUAUGCUGCUGGCAUUUGUGGAAACACAGGAACGCGAUGGUGUUCCAGGCACAGCGUCCCUCGAUCGCCCGAUUGCUAGGUUCGUGUAGGGAAGAUGCCAUGUUGUGGCGCGGGAGGCUGAAAGAGGCAUGCCGUGUCCACGUCGACGAAUGGAUGCAGGCUCUGGGAUGA
rnacentral:rRNA from 1 species